GAUAAAUGCGAAUGUUUUAGAUGGCAAAUACGACUGACAUAAAUUGACAUACUUUUUAGCGUCAUC